UGGCUCAGCCCGGUAGAGCGGCAGCCUUGUAAGCUGUUGGUCGCGGGAUCAAAUCCCGC
rnacentral:tRNA from 1 species